rnacentral:misc_RNA from 2 species
UAUAGGGAGACCUACCCCUUCAUUUUUGCCAAUGUGCAAGAUGAAGUUGGUCAUCUCAAGGUCGGUGAGAGUUGGAUAUUGGCUUUCAAACUUGUCUGGUUUGUGAAAAUUUUAAGGAUUCAGGACAGCAACUCGUCUUUCUACUAGAACAGAGAGCCUGCUGGAUUGAAUCCAGUACAAGAACCAAGAAAACUGCAUAGUGAAGUUGUCAGGUAGAAAUAUCAGACACCAAUGUAAUGGACAGAACUGAUUGAGAAAUCAAUUUAGU